UUUCCGUAGGUGAACCUGCGGAAGGACCAUUAUUGUAUAACCGAGGUGCGAGGGCUGUCGCUGACCCGAAAGGUCGUGCACGCCCGAGUGCUCUCACACACAUCCAUCUCACCCCUAUGUGCACCACCGCGUGGGUCCCCCUUUGGCUUGUUCGGCGGGGGGCUUACGUUUUCACACAAACUUUGUAUGCAGUGUAGAAUGUAUUUUUUGUUUUUGCGAUCACGCAAUCAAUACAACUUUCAACAACGGAUCUCUUGGCUCUC
rnacentral:misc_RNA from 1 species